CGCUAUCACUCCUACGGGAGGCAGCAGUGGGGAAUAUUGCACAAUGGGGGAAACCCUGAUGCAGCCAUGCCGCGUGUGUGAAGAAGGCCUUCGGGUUGUAAAGCACUUUCAGUAGGGAGGAAGGUAGUGUAGUUAACACCUGCAUUAUUUGACGUUACCUACAGAAGAAGCACCGGCUAACUCCGUGCCAGCAGCCGCGGUAAUACGGAGGGUGCGAGCGUUAAUCGGAAUUACUGGGCGUAAAGCGCAUGCAGGCGGCCUGUUAAGUCAGAUGUGAAAGCCCGGGGCUUAACCUCGGAAUUGCAUUUGAAACUGGUAGGCUAGAGUCUUGUAGAGGGGGUAGAAUUUCAGGUGUAGCGGUGAAAUGCGUAGAGAUCUGAAGGAAUACCAGUGGCGAAGGCGGCCCCCUGGACAAAGACUGACGCUCAGAUGCGAAAGCGUGGGGAGCAAACAGGAUUAGAUACCCUGGUAG
rnacentral:rRNA from 1 species